GGCCCGCACAAGCGGUGGAGUAUGUGGUUUAAUUCGAUGCAACGCGAAGAACCUUACCAGGGUUUGACAUCCUGCGAAUCUCUUGGAAACGAGAGAGUGCCUUCGGGAACGCAGUGACAGGUGGUGCAUGGCUGUCGUCAGCUCGUGUCGUGAGAUGUUGGGUUAAGUCCCGCAACGAGCGCAACCCACGUCGUUAGUUGCCAGCAUUUUAGUUGGGCACUCUAGCGAGACCGCCGGUGAUAAACCGGAGAAGGUGUGGAUGACGUCAAGUCAUCAUGCCCCUUACAUCUGGGCUACACACGUACUACAAUGCUACGGACAAAGAGCAGCAAGUUCGCGAGGACAAGCAAAUCUCAUAAACCGUGGCUCAGUUCAGA
rnacentral:rRNA from 1 species